UGGGGAAUUUUGGGCAAUGGGCGAAAGCCUGACCCAGCAACGCCGCGUGAGGGAGGAAAUCCUUCGGGAUGUAAACCUCACAAGCAAGGGAAGCGGUACCUUGCGUAAGCCACGGCUAACUACGUGCCCAGCCGCGGUAAAACCGGUUACUCCUACGG
rnacentral:rRNA from 1 species